rnacentral:rRNA from 1 species
CCUACGGGAGGCAGCAGUGAGGAAUAUUGGUCAAUGGGCGCGAGCCUGAACCAGCCAAGUAGCGUGAAGGAUGACUGCCCUACGGGUUGUAAACUUCUUUUAUAAAGGAAUAAAGUGAGGCACGUGUGCCUUUUUGUAUGUAUUUUAUGAAUAAGGAUCGGCUAACUCCGUUCCAGCAGCCGCGGUAAUACGGAGGAUCCGAGCGUUAUCCGGAUUUCUUGGGUUUAAAGGGAGCGUAGAUGGGUUGUUAAGUCAGUUGUGAACGUUUGCGGCUCAACCUUAAAAUUGCAAUUGAUACUGGCAGCCUUGAGUACAGUAGAGGUAGGCGGAAUUCGUGGUGUAGCGGUGAAAUGCUUAGAUAUUAGGAAGAACAACGAUUGCGAAGGCAGCCUACUAAACUGCCACUGACAUUGAUGCUCGAAAGUGUGGGUAGCAAACAGGAUUAGAUACCCGGGUAGUC